rnacentral:rRNA from 1 species
CCUACGGGCGGCUGCAGUAAUGAAUCUUCCACAAUGCACGAAAGUGUGAUGGAGCGACGCCGAGUGAAGGUUAAGUCCUUCGGGAUGUAAACUUCUAAAACCUGUUAGAAAGUUCUGAUCAGCAGGCUAUAAGUGGCGACUAACUCUGUGCCAGCAGUCGCGGUAAUACAGAGGCCACGAGCGUUAGGCGGAAUCACUGGGCUUAAAGCGCGUGUAGGCGGAUGCCUAAGUACCUUGUGAAAUCCCAUAGCUCAACUAUGGAACUGCUUGGUAUA